AAACGUGAUCGUCCAAAAAGUGAAAGUCACUGUAAUGCUUGUAACAAGUGUGGCACCGAAGGAUUACCUGUUGUCAAUAAAAGAGCAGGCCCUGUUUUGAGAGCUGACGGCUAAGGAGUCGGGAACAGCCCUCAGCCAGCAAGUGAUGUAGACCUAUGGCGCACACGCACACACACCCAACUAAGCACUUUAGUCAUUUCCAAAUGUUGCAUUUGGCUAAAGCGUGGUACAUGGCAAUAAUCAGAAUUAAUUUGUUGCGAUCAAAGGCGCCAAAAAAAAAGGUACGGUUUUCAGAGGUCCCUAAAAGAGCGAGCGAUUAUUGUACAAGUCAGAUUUGAUGCUUGUGCCAGACAAACGGGAGCGACUCGUCGUGUUGAGUGUUCGUAUAAAGUGCACACCAAGGCAAGAGUUUGCAACUGCCAUAUAGUUAGCAGAUAAGCCAAGACAGGGCCUAGCUUCUUGGACUUCGGUUUCAUUCUGAAUGUCCAGUGGCACCAUGCUAGCUCUCAUAGGUGCGUCUUGGCAUGACGACAUACAUGGGGAAGAGAUAAUGUACAAGAGAAUAUUUAUUAACCAAAUACUCAAAAUAAUUUAAAGCGCAAGAGUAAGCGCUCCGAAUAAAAAUGGGACUCGAGACUUUUCCAUUUCUUGUACUUCUCUUUGCAAGGACCUCCUGCUGAACGUUAGGCGUCGCCGUCAUCUUUAAGACUCUUAACUUUUUAUUCUUUGGCUUUUGACUCGGCAUGAGGCUUUAUUUUUACCGUCGUCCAUCUUCAUUAUAUUGUAUGUAUUAUUUUUGCUCAUGUACAGCGGUUGUUUUAAAGUGUUCUAUAAACACAGUUGAGAUUCUAACCUGACUGUUAGGCUGCUGGUAGAAUCUGAAUGCUUCCAGUUGAAGUUGAAGCGUGUGGCCCUCGUGCCUGGGCAGGAAGUGAGAGCUGGAAUUCGUAUGCAAGGCAUCGGUGAGACAUCUGGUGGUGGAAAUGUAAAUCAGGGUGGGGUUAUUCAUCAUCAUUUAGAGUUGCGGGAUGAUGCAUUCAGUACUCACCCAUUUCGCUCAACAAAGUCAUAUCUUAAGGCGGCGUGUGGGUCUGGGCCGGCGGUGGCAGUGCAACGCUGCGCGUAGACGCGCAAGGGCUGGUGUUUGCGGACCGCCGCGGUCACCUCCAAGUGAAUCGGGUCACCCAUGAAGUAUGCACGCGAGCGCCUCUCAAACUGCCAAUUGUCUGAAACAUUUUU